GGAAGACACAUUUCCUGCCUCUCCUUCCCCUGCCCUGAUGGUUCUGUGGGAAGGGCCAGGGCCCAGGGAUAAUUUGCUGUCUUCCUGCUUGAAACCAUGUUAGACGUCAAGGAUUUUUAGGAACUCUGGACAAGAACUAGACAUGUGAGAGAAGAAAGUUCUCAAUCAAUCAAUCAACAUUUGUUAAACACCUGCUUGGUGCAAAACACCGUCCUGGGGAUCAUUCUAAUACAUAUUCUAUGGGCACAUAGUAGAGAGUCCUCUGCUUCUCCUUGUAUUCUGAAAGCAACAAUGGCUUAAAAAAAACAACAACCCAAAAAACAAAUACUAAUUCUUUCAGAAGUGUUUUCCCAGCUACAGAUGUGAAAUAGGCCAGUAUACAAAUCUAUUUGUUUCCCUUCUGUAGUGUUGAAAAUUAUAUUGAUUUAGUGUUCUCAAGUUAUACUUUUUAUGUAAUUAGUGGUGUAGUAAAAACUAAUAUUGUCAUGUGCUAACGUCUUUUCUUCCCCUGUUGUUCUAUGGAGCUGUUCCAUGCAAUAUCAGCAAGUUUACACUUUUCUUGUGUUUUUCUGAAAGCGAAGAGGAACAUCUGUUUCAAUUAUAUAUCUGCAUCAUAAUUAUAACAAUUAAAGAGCUGCCAUAUUUUUACUCUGAAAAAUUUAAUUCAUUCUUAGUCCAGAUGAGUAAGCUUGAGUCAUAA
rnacentral:lncRNA from 1 species